rnacentral:misc_RNA from 1 species
UCCAGGUUAUCCCUGGCGGUCUCCUGCGAGUUCCGUCUUUCGACAUGGCAACACAGGACAAGGGUUGCGCUCGUUGCGGGACUUAACCCAACAUCUCACGACACGAGCUGACGACAGCCAUGCAGCACCUAUACUACGGUCCUUUUAAGGGGAAGAUCUGCUUUCACAGACUGUCCAUAGCAUUUCGAGCCUAGGUAAGGUUCUUCGCGUUGCGUCGAAUUGAACCACAUGCUCCACCGCUUGUGCGGGCCCCCGUCAAUUUCUUUGAGUUUUAGCCUUGCGGCCGUACUCCCCAGGCGGUUCACUUAUCGCGUUAGCUUCGGCACGCAGGGGGUCGACUCCCCGCACACCAAGUGAACACCGUUUACAGCGUGGACUAC